GAUGAACGCUGGCGGCGUGCCUAAUACAUGCAAGUCGAGCGAACGGACGAGAAGCUUGCUUCUCUGAUGUUAGCGGCGGACGGGUGAGUAACACGUGGAUAACCUACCUAUAAGACUGGGAUAACUUCGGGAAACCGGAGCUAAUACCGGAUAAUAUUUUGAACCGCAUGGUUCAAAAGUGAAAGACGGUCUUGCUGUCACUUAUAGAUGGAUCCGCGCUGCAUUAGCUAGUUGGUAAGGUAACGGCUUACCAAGGCAACGAUGCAUAGCCGACCUGAGAGGGUGAUCGGCCACACUGGAAUUGAGACACGGUCCAGACUCCUACGGGAGGCAGCAGUAGGGAAUCUUCCGCAAUGGGCGAAAGCCUGACGGAGCAACGCCGCGUGAGUGAUGAAGGUCUUCGGAUCGUAAAACUCUGUUACUAGGGAAGAACAUAUGUGUAAGUAACUGUGCACAUCUUGACGGUACCUAAUCAGAAAGCCACGGCUAGCUACGUG
rnacentral:rRNA from 1 species